rnacentral:rRNA from 1 species
UACGGAGGGUGCAAACGUUGCUCGGAAUCAUUGGGCGUAAAGCGCGGGCAGGCGGCCCGCUCAGUCGGCCGUGAAAGCGCCGGGCUCAACUCGGCGAGGUCGGGCGAUACUGGCGGGCUGGAGGCUGGUAGAGGGCGGUGGAAUUCCGGGUGUAGUGGUGGAAUGCGUAGAGCUCCGGAGGAACACCAGUGGCGAAGGCGGCCGCCUGGGCCAGUCCUGACGCUGAGCCGCGAAAGCGUGGGGAGCGAUCCGG